GAUGAACGCUGGCGGCGUGCCUAAUACAUGCAAGUCGAGCGAACGGACGAGAAGCUUGCUUCUCUGAUGUUAGCGGCGGACGGGUGAGUAACACGUGGAUAACCUACCUAUAAGACUGGGAUAACUUCGGGAAACCGUAGCUAAUACCGGAUAAUAUUUUGAACCGCAUGGUUCAAAAGUGAAAGACGGUCUUGCUGUCACUUAUAGAUGGAUCCGCGCUGCAUUAGCUAGUUGGUAAGGUAACGGCUUACCAAGGCAACGAUGCAUAGCCGACCUGAGAGGGUGAUCGGCCACACUGGAACUGAGACACGGUCCAGACUCCUACGGGAGGCAGCAGUAGGGAAUCUUCCGCAAUGGGCGAAAGCCUGACGGAGCAACGCCGCGGGAGUGAUGAAGGUCUUCGGAUCGUAAAACUCUGUUAUUAGGGAAGAACAUAUGUGUAAGUAACUGUGCACAUCUUGACGGUACCUAAGCAGAAAGCCACGGCUAACUACGU
rnacentral:rRNA from 1 species